rnacentral:rRNA from 1 species
CCUACGGGAGGCAGCAGUGAGGAAUAUUGGUCAAUGGACGAGAGUCUGAACCAGCCAAGUAGCGUGAAGGAUGACUGCCCUAUGGGUUGUAAACUUCUUUUAUAUGGGAAUAAAAUGUUCCACGUGUGGGAUUUUGUAUGUACCAUAUGAAUAAGGAUCGGCUAACUCCGUGCCAGCAGCCGCGGUAAUACGGAGGAUGCGAGCGUUAUCCGGAUUUAUUGGGUUUACAGGGAGCGUAGGUGGAUUGUUAAGUCAGUUGUGAAAGUUUGCGGCUCAACCGUAAAAUUGCAGUUGAAACUGGCAGUCUUGAGUACAGUAGAGGUGGGCGGAAUUCGUGGUGUAGCGGUGAAAUGCUUAGAUAUCACGAAGAACUCCGAUUGCGAAGGCAGUUCACUGGACUGCAACUGACACUGAGGCUCGAAAGUGUGGGUAUCAAACAGGAUUAGAUACCCUUGUAGUC